rfam:Bacillus sp. KCTC 13219 scaffold12.1, whole genome shotgun sequence.
GAGUAAGGAACGUCUACUAAAAGCACCACAUCCUGUGGUAACGUAGACGCCAGCACAUCCACAUCCAUGUGCA